UGCUAUUUUUUGCUCUGUAGGUUAGAACUCUGCUUUCUGAGCUCAGAAUGGGAGCUUUAAGCUUUUUGCAUUGGCUAUGAAAUGCUUCAUUAAAUGAUUAGGAGGACUAUCAAUUGACAAUUUACUCUAAAUUGCAGAAAGGUGGUGUAUAGUUCCAUGUUUUUGGAGUACCAGUUGAAUCUCAUCUAGGGGUUCAGAAACCAUUAUAUUGCAUAUAAUCCUGUUUGAGCUAGUGUUGCCCAACCCUAAGGUCAUCUUAAUCUGCUGUUGAAACAGUUUCUUUAGACAGUGUAGCCUCUUGGUGUCGAGGGAUGCCAGAAGGUUGUGUUAAGAGCUUAGGUUCUCUAGAGAUUAAUUACUGCAACAGGGUGAGCAUUACUUUGAUAAUUCUUGUUUGCUACUGUGAUAAACCUUUAUAUCAUAGGGUCAUACAUGCAUCUGAUAAUCGCUUGUGUUACUCAUGCAGAUGGGGUAGGAGAGGAAACUAAAUCUGUCGAGCUGCAAAUUAGUGUCAUAGCUGAAUCUUUGACAUGAAAAGGCUGGUUGAUUUCUGUUAAACAUGUAUUUUUUCUAUCCAUUGUCAGUCAUCUUUGUACCUCAGAGCUUGAAAAUGCUUUCACAUGCAGGCUAUUUUCGGAAGCAUAAAUUUGUUGAAAUAUUAGAUAAUCCUGGGACAGCUGACUUUAGUGCUUAUGUUGAUUCCAUCAUGCAUCCUGCAGAAGCCUCAGGUUCCACUCUUGUACUAGCACUAGUAGAAUUUCUAAAUGCUCAAAAUUUGUACAGAUAAUGUAUCUGUCCAUGGCCCAAUUACUCAAUCUCAGUUUUUGGGUUUCCUUGGUAUAAACUUCCGAGUUGAUGCCUUACUGCAACACUGUACAGAUGAGCUGGCAGAGACCUUUAGGACAGGUUACUAGCGAUUGGUAGGAGAUGGAGAGGCCUCUUCUAGGAGGGACCUGAUGAACAAACACCCAUUGGUAUGGGUACAAGGUAUUUGAUAGUGGCAAUUGUGAACAAGAAGCAAGGUGUUCCAGUUCCAUUCCAAUAAUGUUUGAGAUAAAGAGGGCAGUCGAAAAAUCUGAACUCUUGGCAUAACUAUGCUGGGAUGACCUGCUCGCCUUGGCAACAUUAUGGACUUCUAAGUCUGCUUGACUAUUGGUUGUCUUGUAACUUAGCAGUACUCAUGAUACAAAGUGAUCAGGAAUGAGAAUACGAUGUACUGAUCUUGUACUUUUUCUUCAGUUUCUCAUAUAUGGUUUAAAACAAGAGUGUACUUAUAUUUUUAUCAGUUUCUUAGCUAUGUUUAUUGAAAU